rnacentral:rRNA from 1 species
GGCUAAAACAUGCAAGUCGAACGCGAACGUCCCUUCGGGGAACAAGUAGAGUGGCGAAAGGGCGAGGAAUACAUGGGUAACGUGCCUCGAGCACGAGGACAGCCGGGGGAAACUCCGGUUAAUACUCGAUAAGACCACAGCACCGCAGGGUGCAGGGGUCAAAGGGUGGGGACCUUCGGGCCUGCCGGCUCGAGAGCGGCCCAUGUCCUAUCAGCUUGUUGGUGGGGUAACGGCCUACCAAGGCUACGACGGGUACCGGGACUGAGAGGUUGACCCGGCGCAUCGGGACUGAGACACUGCCCGGACUCCUACGGGAGGCUGCAGUAACGAAUAUUGGGCAAUGGGCGAAAGCCUGACCCAGCGACGCCGCGUGUGGGAAGAAUGCCUUCGGGUUGUAAACCACUGUCAGGGAUUACCAACCAACCGGUGUGAAUAGCGCCGGGAGUUGAGGAGUCCCAGAGGAAGUCACGGCUAACUUCGUGCCAGCAGCCGCGGUAAUACGAAGGUGGCUAGCGUUGUUCGGAAUCACUGGGCUUAAAGAGCACGUAGGCGGAUGAUCAAGCGUCUUGUGAAAGCCCUCGGCUCAACCGGGGAAUUGCUUGGCGAACUGAUCAUCUUGAGGCAGGUAGGGGCGAGUGGAACUCUUGGUGGAGCGGUGGAAUGCUUAGAUAUCAAGAGGAACGCCAGAGGCGAAGGCGACUCGCUGGGCCUGACCUGACGCUGAGGUGCGAAAGCCAGGGGAGCGAACGGGAUUAGAUACCCCGGUAGUCCUGGCCCUAAACGAUGUCCACUAGGUCGGUGAGGUUCUAAUGCUUUGCUGGCCGAAACAAAAGCGUUAAGUGGA